GAUGAAGAACGUAGCGAAAUGCGAUAAGUAGUGUGAAUUGCAGAAUUCAGUGAAUCAUCGAAUCUUUGAACGCACAUUGCGCCCCUUGGUAUUCCAUGGGGCAUGCCUGUUCGAGCGUCAUUUGUACCUUCAAGCUUUGCUUGGUGUUGGGUGUUUGUCCCUCGGGACUCGCCUUAAAGUCAUUGGCAGCCAGUGUUUUGGUUUUGAAGCGCAGCACAAGUCGCGAUUCAAGGCUAUCCGCCCGCUUCCACAAGCCUUUUUCACUUUUGACCUCGGAUCAGGUAGGGAUACCCGCUGAACUUAAGCAUAUCAUAACGGAGGA
rnacentral:misc_RNA from 1 species